GUAAUUUCUCCCUAAUAACUACACAGAAAUAAAGAUUCAGUUGGAACAAGAAAAACAUUAGCUGUUGUGGAGUUUCAAGUAAAGCAGUUUUCCAUUCAAUAUCUUGAGGUGGUUGCUGAAUGUCUGUAUCAAAAAUAGUUUUCUGCACAGUGAUACUGUUGAACUACUCUUAUACAUUGACGAAGUAAAUCUAAACAAUACAAUGGUGAUGAUUAGGAUAGAAAAGAUUUCUUCAACUAAGUAAGACUGAGAUGAUCACCCAAAAUGCUUUUCUCUCUUUCGGGGUUUCAUAUAUAUAUAUAUAUAUACAUAUAUAUACACAUGAGUGUGUAUACAAACACACAUAUUAUUUUACUAUUGGAUCCACCAAAGCAAUGAAAGUAUCAGAAAAAGAGAUUUUAAGGUAAGACCACAUAAAAAAAGGAAAAUUAAGUCUACUAGCUCUUUAAGGUGCCACAUUGCCAACUAUGAUCACCAAGGUCUAAAAGACUUAUAACUAGACAGUAAACUCAUAGUUUUGAAGGACAGUGAAAAAAAAGACCUAAAUUUUGCUUAAAAGGCUUGCAGAUUUAAAAUUGUACAGAAGCCAUCUUAAAAACAUUCCAUUUGCCCACAUUGUGACAUCACAUGUCAGUGUAAAGCUAUUGUUAGCAAAUGCUGACUGCUUCAUGAUGAUUCCUUCAUCCUUAUGAAAAGCAUCAAUCAUCUUUCAGGAACAAAAGCUGGUUCCUGCGGACCCAACCAACCACAUGUCCCAGCAGCUCUGAAGCCACCUUCCUUCAGUUGGAACUGCAUCUUUCCUAGAGAGGUUGGAAUAAAGACACAGAACUUACUAAUGAGACUAUAUCUUCCAGGCCAGCAUACCGUUCCAGGCAUUGCUGUGAGGGGUUACGUCUCAAGAGACUCCAGUGCCACUGGGCUGAACACUGACGCAUUCAGCUUUUAGGAUCCUUUCCUGGAAAGGAGACCCCUGCCAUUUGACCUUGCUGAUAUCUUCAGUGCAUGGAGAGACCCAAGAACCUCAGUGCCAGUUGCAGAGCUGGGAACCAUGCAAAUAAGGCUCAUCUCAGUCCAGCUUUCAGUCUUGCAGCUCAAGAGAAAUCUGGAUCAAGCAGAAGUAAUGGAAAUUAUCAGAAGUCUAGCAAACAGCAUGUGAAAAAGAGGGCAAUAAGCACAGUUCCUCAAUCUAGCAGAGAUAAAGACUGAGGGGAAUAACUUCCAGUACUAUUACAGACAAGCAAGCUACAAAGAAAGCAGUAAUACAAUUAUUUUCAC